UUGCUCUUCAACGAGGAAUGCCUAGUAAGCGCGUGUCAUCAGCACGCGUUGAUUACGUCCCUGCCCUUUGUACACACCGCCCGUCGCUACUACCGAUUGAACGGCUCAGUGAGGCCUUCGGACUGGCCCAGGGAGGUUGGCAACGACCGCCCCAGGCCGGAAAGUUGGUCAAACUCGGUCGUUUAGAGGAAGUAAAAGUCGUAACAAGGUUUCCGUAGGUGAACCUGCGGAAGGAUCAUUAUCGUUUGCUUACGGCCGCCCCUCGGGGUGGCCUGUAACGCUCACCCUUUGCCCUUUACGAAACCGUUUGUUCCCUCCCGCCGGGUCCGCCCGGCGGGGGUCCAUUCAAAAACCUCGUAGUAACAGCAGUACCUGUCUGAACAAAUAUCAAACGUUAAAACUUUCAACAAUGGAUCUCUUGGUUCUGGCAUCGAUGAAGAACGCAGCGAAAUGCGAUACGUAGUGUGAAUUGCAGAAUUCAGUGAAUCAUCGAAUCUUUGAACGCACAUUGCGCCCUUUGGCAUUCCUUAGGGCAUGCCUGUUCGAGCGUCAUUUUCACCCAUCAAGCCCAGCUUGGUGUUGGGCGCCUGUCCGGCUUCGUCGGACUCGCCUUGAAAACAUUGGCGGCCGGUCCCGCGGCUUGGAGCGCAGCACAGUCGCGCCUCCAUGCCUCGCGGGCUGGCGACCAGUAAGCUAUUCUACCACUUUGACCUCGGAUCAGGUAGGGAUACCCGCUGAACUUAAGCAUAUCAAUAAGCGGAGGA
rnacentral:rRNA from 1 species